CUCGCGUCGGCCCUUGAAAUCCGAGUGAGGGAGUGUGAUUUUCGUGCCGGACCGUACCCACAUCGCAGCAGGUCUCAAGGUGACAGCCUCUAGUCGAUGGACCAAUGUAGGUAAGGGAAGUCGGCAAAACGGAUCCGUAACCUUGGGAUAAGGAUUGGCUCUGAGGACUGAGCCGGUCGGGCUGGGGACCUGAAGCAGGAACGGCACUGCACCGGGACUGGGCGGGGCUCGCCGUUGACGCGGCGCGGCCAAGCCCGGACCAGCGUCGGGACCUUCCUGUGGAAAGCCUCAGCUGCGCGGCGUCCGAGGGCUUCGUGCCCAAAGUGCUAUGCUUCGGCCGGCAAAAAACAGUCAACUCAGAACUGGCACGGACCGGGGGAAUCCGACUGUCUAAUUAAAACAAAGCAUUGCGAUGGCCGCUGGUCGGUGUUGACGCAAUGUGAUUUCUGCCCAGUGCUCUGAAUGUCAACGUGAAGAGAUUCAUCAAAGCGCGGGUAAACGGCAGAGUAACUAUGACUCGGGAGUAACUAUGACUUUUGGGGCAUUAUGAUGUAGUGUGGGGCUAGCAUACUGAUGGAAUCAUUGUUGGAAUGAUUCGUGUGAUGUUUUAGGUGUGGCGACGGGAGUUUGAUUUCGAAACCAAUUAUUGACCACUCCUUGUUGGAUCAACAUGGAUGCUCCCGAUGUUGGCAUGGUGGCCUGCCCGAAUUGUGGCAAGCAUUACAAGAUUAAGGGCCUGGCAAGCCAUAGGCGUAAAUGUGAUAAAGUUAGUUUGAACAAUGAAAUUGUAAUUACGAAGACGAAACCGCACUGGAGUGCGGAGGAGUCCUUUUUUUUGGCAAGGUCGGAGGCGGAUGCCCUACUUAGGGGUGUGAGACCGGUAAAAAUUAACUCAGUCCUUUAUCAGCUGCAUCCAAACCGUAGUGAGGAGGCAGUGAAAGGGCAACGUAGAAAGAAAGAACACAAAGAGCUCGUUAUUAAAUUGGUUCAGGAGGGACAUGAUAAAUCAAAUGCCACGGAUUAUUCGGAUGCUGCUGAGGCGGAGGAGGUGGAAUCUGCGGCAGGGUGUGGAGGGGAGGAGAUAAGCGGAUUACGUGCACUGCCAGAAGACUCCAACCCACUUGGUGGAUCGGCCGAGGAGGGGCCGUUUGAGGGAAAGAGACGUCUCGAGGAAUGGUUAAGAAAUAGUAUAAAGUACGGUACAUCUCGGGAAGAGAAGGGU
rnacentral:ncRNA from 1 species